CCUACGGGAGGCUGCAGUGGGGAAUAUUGCACAAUGGGGGAAACCCUGAUGCAGCAACGCCGCGUGAGCGAAGAAGGCCUUCGGAUCGUAAAGCUCUGUCCUAAGGGAAGGAGCAUGACGGUACCUUAGGAGGAAGCCCCGGCUAACUACGUGCCAGCAGCCGCGGUAAUACGUAGGGGGCUAGCGUUAUCCGGAAUUACUGGGCGUAAAGGGUGCGUAGGCGGCCCUUCAAGUCAGAGGUGAAAGGCUACGGCUCAACCGUAGUAAGCCUUUGAAACUGUAGGGCUCGAGUGCAGGAGAGGGGGGUGGAAUUCCCAGUGUGGCGGUGAAAUGCGUAGAUAUUGGGGGGAACACCAGUUGCGAAGGCGGCUCUCUGGACUGUAACUGACGCUGAGGCACGAAAGCGUGGGGAGCGAACAGGAUUAGAUACCCCGGUAGUC
rnacentral:rRNA from 1 species